rnacentral:lncRNA from 10 species
GUCUCACUGACUUCAAGAAUGAAGCCGCGGACCCUCGCAGUAAAUAGGUUCAUCACUGUGAAGAUUUCUGGACAUUCUGCCACCACCUUGGUCUACAAGUGGCAUUCCCAAAGCCUGAAGCUAUCUUUGGCACCUGUAAAACGCCAGCCUUUCCCUCCAUGCCUACCCAAAGUGGUAGGUCCAGAGAUGUCUUGAUCAUCU